CUGCUUGGGUUGGCAGGCCCUGGUGUUGCCUGAGGUCACGAAUGAAUGUGUGGGCCUAUGUUGGCGUGUCGUUGUGGAUGUUGAGUGAUAUUGCGCCAAGAGCUGCGUAACGUGCAGUUAUAAUUCAGUCCAGGACAAUAGCCUGGUAAUGGAAAGCCUGUGUGUGGUGGAUCGCUGAAGCUGUCGUGAGUGAACACAACGUGCGUUAUAAGCGUACAUCGGCGCUCUCCAGCAGGACCAGGAACUGGUACAAGGUGCCGUCUAUCUGCUGUUUUGCCAGAAGAGGAUUGCGUUUUAUGUCAUUUGUUUGUUUCCCUGUGUGUGUGACUGUUCUGUUGUUCACGUCAAUUGAUUUGGUCGUGCAUAUGCGGGUCAGCUGUAUUGGCUAUUCAGCCUUCCCCGCCGCACUGUGUAACGUUGUGCGUCUGCGCGCUCUGACCGUUUAACUCGCAGGUGCAGCUUCCACAGGCUGCGCCCACUGUGCCCCCUGACGCACUAACCCGUGUGCUGUGUUCCCCUUUUGCUGUGCUUUGCAUGUUUGUUUAAAUACAGAUUUGCAGUGUGUUUUUGUUUGAUUUAAUUUGCAUUAUUUUGUGAUUUGUGUGCAUUUCUGUUAUUUUCUUGUAGUUUGGUUUAUUUCUUCUGCUCUGGGGACAUUAGUGGUAGCGCCCGCUACUGGUUCUGACCAGCCCUAUUAACGGCUCAAAGUGUACUGUCUGUUAACCGUGAAUGUGAGUGAGUGAGCCCUGCCCCUGCUUGUUUGCACAUGCUGUUUUAUUCAUGCAUAUUUAUCAUAUGUUGUACAGAUAAUUGAACUAAGAAUAAACUAUUUAAACUGUG